UCUCCACUUGCCAGAGGCAGCAGAGCCAGUGAAGUAUACCAGCCCCUCCCUGUGUGUGACGUCAGAGAAGUGGUCCAACCUCUCUGAUCUUCCCAGCACCUAUGAAAUUGGACUGGUCAUAACAAUACUUGAGCUGUCGGAAUAAUGAGGUACAUCCUCGAAGAAAGCACAUUCCAACCUGGCUGGGAGUUGCACAUAGGACCUGGGAGCUCACCUGGAAAUGUGGCCCAUCCUCCACACCUGGAAGCUGCUUAUUACCAUGGAAAGAUUAACAACCUUCUUGCAGAAACCAGAGCCGCCAGCCCUUUGAAGACCCCCAGCCCUUUGUAAACCUGCAGGCCUUUGCAAAUCCCCAGCCCACAUUACCUGUAAACUGCCCAUUUGGCAUACUCUUUUGCCUACUUCCCCAUGUAAUCUUCGUCCCAAUAUUAGCAGCUGGCUUAUGGAGGGGUGCAGAGCAGAUUUUUGUGAAUGACCUGCUGCUCUCCCAUACUGCCAGCAUUAUUGGAAUAAAUGCUCAUAUAUGAGCUAUAAAUUUAUCUCUUAGAGUUUUACCUCUUUUCUAUGAA